rnacentral:lncRNA from 1 species
AAAAUAAUUAGUUAUUAAUCUUUUUCAUAAGAUGUGGACUUAUUCAGCUCUUAUCUAUUUUUAAAAGAUGUAUGCUUAAUUUAUUUUCCACAUAUUUAAAAUAGAAUAAAUUUUAAUAACACAUAUACUAUUUAUGUAAGUAUUAAUUUUAAAUAAUUGCAAAUUAAUAUAUUUAAUAAGUAUAGUUAAUAUUUUUGAAGUUCGUAACUUAUCAUUAUUAACUAAUAAAAAUGUAUAAAAUAAGACCUGUUCUGAAAAAAAUAUCUUUCUAAUAUAGAAGGAUUAAUAUAUAUCAAAAAUUAAACAAAUUGUAAUUAACAAUGGAAAUGGCCAUUCGUCUAAUUGUAAACUUGUAGUGGAGAAAGAUUUAUUCUUACUUUAAUGUGAUUCGUGUCGGUAAAAGAUGUCCGAGGGUCCGGUGAUGUGAUCAUGUGGAACAAGAUGGAGCACCAGGCCUUUCCCUUUCCAAGCUUUAAUUAUUUUGCAUGAUUACUUCUCAAAAUACUAUAGUAGCUACGAAAUUACAGUAUUCCGACUAACCAUACGUGUAGGUUGUCAAAAAGAUAUCAUACUUUGUCUGCUCUUGGGUGUGUAUCAUAUUGCAUAUGGAAUUUGAUAUGCGCGAGAGGAUUUGUAUAAGUAUAUUAUAUAAGUUUUUUUUUCUAUUUUGAAUAAUCAUAUCUUUCUGAAUUUUCCUUAAGUUUAUUUCUGUUUUUUUUUUUUUGAUAAAAUGAUAAAUUUAAAAUAUUUGACCGACUACUAUAUUUUAAAUAGAUAGAUAUCAGAGCAUCCAUAUAAAGAAAGUGAAUUUCUUAACAAAAAAGUUAUUUUAAAGAAAGAAAAAAUAUGAGAAAGAGGGUAAAAAUGAAAAAUCAUUUUUCUUCUGAGAAACUCUUACUUAUCUUAGAGAGAUCACAAUGCCCUUUACCAUUCUUUGACGAGUUCAUUUUUUGACAUCAAAGUUAAAUCAGAUAAUAAAAUUGCCUAAAAUGUUUAUAUAGUAAUAGCGAGAAACUAUUCUAGAAAUAC